AUGGAGAACCUAAAAAAGAAGAACGUGAAGGAGAAAAAGAGGAAUAAGGCGAGGGACCUACCUGAGUUCACGUAUCUCCGAGAUUCAUUACCUUCACCGCCGGGUUUCUCUCAUAGGUGGGCGCUGACCUUUGUCUCUAUCUAUACGCUUGCAAUAUCUCACUGCGAUGACGUUCGAACUCUGAAUCAUUGA